rnacentral:lncRNA from 1 species
UCAAGGUUGACAAUUUAAUCCUAGAUCGUCCUAGAGCAUUCAGGAUCAAAGAGAUGAAUUAUGCGGUAACCAUAUGCAUAGGUUCUUAAAUAUUAUCUUGCAAAUAUUCGACCUAUCCGGACGUCAGAAACCAUUACUAGAUGGUAACUUCGAUUAGUACAGAAAAUGAUUCCUGUGCUACUAGAUUAGUGUUCGAACCUAUGGAG